CCUAUGGAGAGUACAAGAACUUGUGAGUAGCAUAGUGCAAAAGCAUACUCGAUGAAGUAGGAA
rnacentral:sRNA from 12 species